GGAGACGUGGCCGAGUGGUCGAAGGCGCUCCCCUGCUAAGGGAGUAGGCCCGGAAGGGUCUCGAGGGUUCGAAUCCCUUCGUCUCUGCCA
rnacentral:tRNA from 1 species